rnacentral:misc_RNA from 1 species
GAUGAAGAACGUACCGAAAUGCGAUACUUGGUGUGAAUUGCAGAAUCCCGUGAACCAUCGAGUCUUUGAACGCAAGUUGCGCCUCAAGCCAUUAGGUUGAGGGCACGUCUGCCUGGGCGUCACAUAUCGUUGCCUGAUGCCAGUUUCCUCGUGAUGGGUGACUGUGCAGGGCGAAUGAUGGCUUCCCGUGAGCAUUGUUGCCUCAUGGUUGGUUGAAAAUUGAGUCCUUGGUAGGGAGCGCCGUGAUAGAUGGUGGUUGAGUGACGAACGAGACCCAAUCAUGUGAGACCCCUACCGAAUUUGGCCUUCAUGACCCACAUGCGUCUUUGGAACGCUCAUGACGAGACCUCAGGUCAGGCGGGGCUACCCGCUGAGUUUAAGCAUAUCAAUAAGCGGAGGA